UCUCAGGUCAGAAGUUAUGCAGAAGCAUCAGCUGCACAUCCUAUAAUUUUUCAGAUAUCCUUAUAAGAUUUGAUUUUUUUAUGACUCUUUUACAAAAUAUGACGCCUAUACCUAAAGUUCCUUGUCAAUCUAUAACAGAUAUUAACGAUUUUGUUAUUAAUAAUGAAGUUAUUAAUGAGGAUAUAAUCCCAAAUACAGAUGGAUAUGAACUCUUAAAUCAGGAAUCUGAGGAAGAAGAGCAACCUUUACCAAGCCAUAUAGAAAUUCCAUAUGUAAAUGAUUAUAUUGAAGAUGACAUUGGUAAUAAUCUAGAUUUUGAAUUUAAUUUAGAAAAUGAGAUUCAAGUUAAAAAUGCUAUGCUAAAUAUUAAUAUUCCUUCUUCAAAUUUUCCUCAAUGGUCCUUCCAAAUAACUGAAGAAGAAUGGAAUAAUAAAUUAUAUGAAAUAAUUCAAAAAAGAUCUUAAAUCUAUUCUAUGAUUUAUUAAAAAAAAUUAAAAUAUCAAUAUUUAUUUUAAAAAAUGCUAUAUAGUCAUAGAUAAUCAUGACAUAGGUAAUUUAUAA